GUGACCUGCGGAAGGAUCAUUAAUGAAUAUUAGAAGUAUCUUUACAGAUCUUCAACCCUCAUUACCUUCACUCUGUGCAUUAUUAUUACAAGGUUGGACUUCAUUGUCUACCUUUCAUUUAAACACUAGUAAAAGUAUGUAAAUUUAUAAAAUAAAAUAAAACUUUCAACAACGGAUCUCUUGGCUCUCGCAUCGAUGAAGAACGCAGCGAAAUGUGAUAAGUAAUGUGAAUUGCAGAAUUCAGUGAAUCAUCGAAUCUUUGAACGCACCUUGCACUCCUUGGUAUUCCGAGGAGUAUGUCUGUUUGAGUGUCAUGAACUCUUCAAUCUAUCUCUUUGUUGAAAUAGAAUUGGUUUUUGAAGGUUGUAUUUUAUACUCCUUUGUAAUGUAUUAGCAAAUCUAGUCAAUCUCGGAUUGACUCAGUGUAAUAGACUAUUCGCUGAGGACGAGUGACAGUAUUUGCUUCGAAUUGUAGUUAAUUUUGAAUUAGACCUCAAAUCAGAUAGGAUUACCCGCUGAACUUAAGCAUAUCAAUAAGCGGAGGAAAAGAAACUAACCAGGAUUCCCCUAGUAACGGCGAGUGAAGCGGGAAGAGCUCAAAUUUGUAAUCUGACAGCAAUGUCCGAGUUGUAAUCUCGAGAAGUGUUUUCCGUGUUGGACCGCAUACAAGUCUGUUGGAAUACAGCGUGCUAUAGGUGAGAACCCUGUCUACGAUGCGGACUCCCAAUACUUUGUGAUACACUUUCGAAGAGUCGAGUUGUUUGGGAAUGCAGCUCAAAUUGGGUGGUAAAUUCCAUCUAAAGCUAAAUAUUGGCGAGAGACCGAUAGCGAACAAGUACCGUGAGGGAAAGAUGAAAAGCACUUUGGAAAGAGAGUUAACAGUACGUGAAAUUGUUGGAAGGGAAACGCUUAAACUCAGACUUGCUGUCUCACGACUUGCAGGCCAGCAUCAGUUUUGAGGGGUGCAAAAUCAACAGGGGAAGGUAGCAGUCUCGGCUGUGUUAUAGCCCUUGUUAGGAUUCACCUUUUGGGACUGAGGAACGCUGUGUAUCUUAUUCGAUUCGUUGAAAUAACACAUGGGAUGCUGGUGGAAUGGGUUUAAACGACCCGUCUUGAAACACGGACCAAGGAGUCUAACAUGUUUGCGAGUAUUUGGGUGUUAAACCCUGAUGCGUAAUGAAAGUGAAUGCAGGUGGGAACCCUUUGGGUGCACCAUCGACCGAUCUGGAUUUUCUAAGAUGGAUUUGAGUAAGAGCAAGUAUGUUGGGACCCGAAAGAUGGUGAACUAUGCCUGAAUAGGGCGAAGCCAGAGGAAACUCUGGUGGAGGCUCGUAGCGGUUCUGACGUGCAAAUCGAUCGUCAAAUUUGGGUAUAGGGGCGA
rnacentral:rRNA from 1 species